AUAAAAAGAAUGUUGAGUUUUCAGAGUCUUUAUUGUCAUUUUUUGUGAUAGGACCCUACCAGACUAUAUUUGAAUACGGCAUACCCAUGAAUUCUGGAACUGUUAUUCCUUAACCCAGUUUGGAGGAUAAGAGCUUACCAACUAGUUAUAAAUAUGCUGAGGCGAUGUAUUGCAAAAUAGCCAACAUACAACAAUUAAAGGAUAAUUGCAGACUACAUCCUGAUGAAGAUAUGGAUGACCCUCUGUCUGGUCAACAGGAGUUUAAAUAUGGAUGGGACAGUUAUGUGGCAGCUCUUCCCUGGCUCAUUCACCUCUUGCCUUCAUUUGUGAAAGGAAGAAAGAAUGGAGAGGGUCAAUGUGCAACUGAAGCUACUGAUUGUGCUGUGUGAUGAGCAUCAAUCCAUGCUUUGAGGGGGAUGAAUCAGCACAGCCCUGCCUGCUCUGCGUUGGGAACAGAAGUUGCAUCCAGAAUUUUUGCAUCAUUCUGGACCAAAAAGCCAUUCCCUGCAUGAUGAAGACCACUGAUGCAGCCUUCCACUACAUCAUGAGUAAAACAACUACAGAACUAAAUACCAGGUUGGAACGUAUUUAAGAAAAAUGAAACGUCUUUUGAAUUGAAAUGUCUGUUUUGUUAUGGAAAAAUCUUUAGUAUUGUGAAGGAUAACAUUUCUGCUUGCCAAUAAGGUAAUUGCAGUGUAUUUUAAUGUUCAAGUUUUGAGUAGGGUGGCUAAUUGUUUUUAACUCUCAUUUGAUAUAUUAAAGACCUUAUAAUAAGUGGUUUUCAUGUCACUGCGCUGUGGUAUAAGAUAACUUUCAUUAUUCCAUACUGUAUUCUGUUUUUUAAUUGUAGCUGAGGUAUUUAAAUAAGCAGUGUUAAAUGCUAAGUGUUGUGUGUAUCAAUGUAAAUAUUAAAUGUGAUGUACUUUAAUAAAAAGAGGUUUUGCAAUA